rnacentral:rRNA from 1 species
CAGCCGCCGCGGUAAUACGUAGGGUGCAAGCGUUGUCCGGAAUUAUUGGGCGUAAAGAGCUCGUAGGCGGUUUGUCGCGUCUGCUGUGAAAUCCCGAGGCUCAACCUCGGGCUUGCAGUGGGUACGGGCAGACUAGAGUGCGGUAGGGGAGAUUGGAAUUCCUGGUGUAGCGGUGGAAUGCGCAGAUAUCAGGAGGAACACCGAUGGCGAAGGCAGAUCUCUGGGCCGUAACUGACGCUGAGGAGCGAAAGCGUGGGGAGCGAACAGGAUUAGAUACCCCGGUAGUCCCUGUCUCUUAUAC